GGGCCCUUAGCUCAUUCGGUUAGAGCAACAGACUCAUAAUCUGUGGGUGGUUGGUUCGAUUCCAACAGGGCCCACCA
rnacentral:tRNA from 1 species